UAUAUGUUUGGUUUUCAGAAAGCAUAGCAUUUGAUUCGUAUCCUUUUGCCUUUCACUUUAUCAGUACUUUCUCUGUUUCUUCUACUUUUGUACUGUGCAUUUCCAGCUUCCCAAUCGGACUAAUGGUUCUGUAUUAAGCGGGCUGCCAGUGUUUUUUUUCGGAGAUCGGGUUGCAAAUGACUUGAUAUAAGCAGCUUCUCCAUCAGGUGAGAUAGAAAAGCCUGAACCAUCAUCACCGUCUGAAACAUUGGCUCCAGGAAGUUCAGAUGAUGAGCAAAGCUGCUCACCACCCCAAUUGGAGUGAGAU